rnacentral:tRNA from 1 species
GGAGGACUAGUUCAAUCGGUAGAACACGCGUCUCUGGAACGCGAAGUUGAUGGUUCGACUCCAUCGUCCUCUUCCA